rnacentral:rRNA from 1 species
AUUGAACGCUGGCGGCAUGCUUUACACAUGCAAGUCGAACGGUAACAGGCCGCAAGGUGCUGACGAGUGGCGAACGGGUGAGUAAUGCAUCGGAACGUGCCCAGUCGUGGGGGAUAACGCAGCGAAAGCUGCGCUAAUACCGCAUACGAACCAUGGACGAAAGGGGGGGACGGUACGGCCUCGCGCGAUUGGAUCGGGCGAUGUCAGAUUAGGUAGUCGGAGGGGUAAAGGCCUACCAAGCCAAGGAUCUGUAGCUGGGCUGAGAGGACGACCAGCCACACUGGGACUGAGACACGGCCCAGACUCCUACGGGAGGCAGCAGUGGGGAAUUUUGGACAAUGGGCGCAAGCCUGAUCCAGCAAUGCCGCGUGCAGGAAGAAGGCCUUCGGGUUGUAAACUGCUUUUGUACGGAACGAAAAGGCUCUGGUUAAUACCUGGGGCUCAUGACGGUACCGUAAGAAUAAGCACCGGCUAACUACGUGCCAGCAGCCGCAGUAAAAC